rnacentral:tRNA from 1 species
AGCCCGGUGGUGUAGCGGCCAACCAGUGCCGGCAUACCCGCCGGCACCGGGUAGGCAUCUGGGACUCUGAAUCCCGUGACGAAGGUUCGAAUCCUUCUCGGGCUA